GAGUGUGGGCCCCAUCACAUCCAAGAUGAUGGACGGGACCGGUGUUGGUUUUUUGUGAUUUUGCUUGCCUAGCCGCAACCAUGGACGUGGUGAUGCCUGGCCUCGGCUACAACUGCACAGUGAUUGAAGAUCAACCCUGCCAAGUUGUUGAAAUAAGCACUCCAUGGAUGGAAUCCUGCAGUUGAUCCAUCCAUCUCGAAGAGGAAGAAGCAGAAGAAUAAAAGAAGAUGGUGAUCUAUAUGAGUUGAUGGGUUCGUCGGAGGAGGAGAAGGACCUCUUCUCUUCACCAACACAAAGAGCAACCACACCCCAGCGCUCAAGCACAUACACAGGGACCUCCCCGUUGUUGUAUUUGGUGGAUUCGGUUCGUGCAAGCAAGCACACCGAGGUUGGCUGGCCCGCACUCCAUUUCAGGGGGUGUUCUGUGUACCACCGGAGGAAUGAGCUCGCCAGCUGC